AUGUGAAAUCUGAAAUAAAAUACUAAUGCACCGGAUCCGAUCAGAACUCCGCUGUUAAGCGUGGUUGGGUGAGAGUAAUAUUAAGAUAUGUGACCUCCUGCGAUGUCUUCGUGUUGCACCUCU